GCCCGCGCCGCCACCAUGGUACGUUGAAUCCCGAUCUCUGGAAGGUUUAGGGCAGAGCUCUGGUGACUGGGGGAUGACGAGCCACCUCUCCUGUCAUCCUUAGCGUCGCCCGGUGCCACGAGGUAUGAGAGCCUCGGCAGACGGCCGGGCUCCGGCAGUGAUUCAGCAUCUCCGGCCUGGCCGGGCUAGGGGUUAUCGGUAGCCAGUGCGGCCUUUCCACCGCUUUCGCUUCCCGGGGAGCCUCCGACACUUCCUCCUCGGUCAGCUAGAUGAGUUCGCCCCUCAGGUUCCUUCAGUGGAGUAGAUUCUGAGCGGUCCAGAAUAGCUCCUAGUGCUGUGUAUGGGAGAGGAGAAGACAGAGACUUGACUUGGAGGCCUACCUGUACCACCAGUGCGGACUUGACCCCCAGGUUUGUGUUCCUGGACAGCGUCCGUUUUCCUGUUUCGAAAUCAGUAUGACAAUGAUGUCACUGUUUGGAGCCCCCAGGGCAGGAUUCAUCAAAUUGAAUAUGCAAUGGAAGCUGUUAAACAAGGUUCAGCCACAGUUGGUCUGAAAUCAAAAACUCAUGCAGUUUUGGUUGCAUUGAAAAGGGCGCAAUCAGAGCUUGCAGCUCAUCAGAAAAAAAUUCUCCAUGUUGACAACCAUAUUGGUAUCUCAAUUGCGGGGCUUACUGCUGAUGCUAGACUGUUAUGUAAUUUUAUGCGUCAGGAGUGUUUGGAUUCCAGAUUUGUAUUCGAUAGACCACUGCCUGUGUCUCGUCUUGUAUCUCUAAUUGGAAGCAAGACCCAGAUACCAACACAACGAUAUGGCCGGAGACCAUAUGGUGUUGGUCUCCUUAUUGCUGGUUAUGAUGAUAUGGGCCCUCACAUUUUCCAAACCUGUCCAUCUGCUAACUAUUUUGACUGCAGAGCCAUGUCCAUUGGAGCCCGUUCCCAAUCAGCUCGUACUUACUUGGAGAGACAUAUGUCUGAAUUUAUGGAGUGUAAUUUAAAUGAACUAGUUAAACAUGGUCUGCGUGCCUUAAGAGAGACGCUUCCUGCAGAACAGGACCUGACUACAAAGCCUGCUCAACCUGCUGAUGAACCUGCAGAAAAGGCUGAUGAACCAAUGGAACAUUAAGUGAUAAGCCAGUCUAUAUAUGUAUUAUCAAAUAUGUAAGAAUACAGGCACCACAUACUGAUGACAAUAAUCUAUACUUUGAACCAAAAGUUGCAGAGUGGUGGAAUGCUAUGUUUUAGGAAUCAGUCCAGAUGUGAGUUUUUUCCAAGCAACCUCACUGAAACCUAUAUAAUGGAAUACAUUUUUCUUUGAAAGGGUCUGUAUAAUCAUUUUCUAGAAAGUAUGGGUAUCUAUACUAAUGUUUUUAUAUGAAGAACAUAGGUGUCUUUGUGGUUUUAAAGACAACUGUGAAAUAAAAUUGUUUCAC
rnacentral:lncRNA from 1 species